rnacentral:rRNA from 1 species
AAUCAGUCAUGCAUAGCAUAUCAAUAAGCGGAGGAAAAGAAACUAACAAGGAUUCCCUUAGUAACGGCGAGUGAAGCGGGAAGAGCUCAAAUUUGAAAUCUUCAAGGUUCUACCUUGACGAAUUGUAGUUUAUAGAAGUGUUUUCUGUUAGUGGAGUGGCAAAAGUUCUUUGGAAUAGGACAUCAUAGAGGGUGAGAAUCCCGUAUUUGGUCAUUCCUCCUAGCGUUGUGAUACACUUUCAACGAGUCGGAUUGUUUGGGAAUGCAGUCCAAAAUGGGUGGUAAAUUUCAUCUAAAGCUAAAUAUUGGCGAGAGACCGAUAGCGAACAAGUACCGUGAGGGAAAGAUGAAAAGAACUUUGAAAAGAGAGUUAAACAGUACGUGAAAUUGUCAAAAGGGAAGCGUUUGACACCAGUGUUGUUUUUCCGAAAAUCAAUUACGAAUGUUUUGUUUUUAAGAAGUUAUGACUUCAUCGGCUUGCUUCUUUCUUUACGAAACUUUCUUAAUGCACUUUUCGGUUAACAAGUCAACAUCAAUUUCUUUUGUUGUAAAAGGGUAUGAGGAAGGUGGCUUUCUUUUCGGAGAAAGUGUUUAUAGCCUUGUGCCUCUGCAAUCGGAGAGAUUGAGGUCUGCAGCGUAGAUCCUCGGGGUUAGAUACAGUUUGUGCUAAGUUAUAGCUUUUCAUAGACAACUUGUUGACUAUGUUUAGUCUUGUAGCUUACUCGCUGACGCUAUUUUACCUACGCUUAGGAUGUUGAUCUCUCACAGUCGAGC